rnacentral:rRNA from 1 species
UACGGAGGGGGCUAGCGUUGUUCGGAAUUACUGGGCGUAAAGCGCACGUAGGCGGCUUGGUAAGUUAGAGGUGAAAGCCUGGAGCUCAACUCCAGAAUUGCCUUUAAGACUGCCGAGCUAGCAGGUGAGAGAGGUGAGUGGAAUUCCGAGUGUAGAGGUGAAAUUCGUAGAUAUUCGGAAGAACACCAGUGGCGAAGGCGGCUUACUGGUCCGGUUCUGACGCUGAGGCGCGAAAGCGUGGGGAGCAAACAGG